CUACCACAUGUUGCUCUGUUGGGUCUGGUCGGCCACCAGCAGGUUUCCAUGGACCUCGUCCACCAGCUCUGGAGCGAUCCAACGCAGCGGAACAUACAUCUGAUCUGAUGUGACCAAGCCGUAAUCUCCAACCUUCACGGAGACAUCAGCCGUCAACAAGCAGUUCCUCAAAGCCAGGUCACUAGAUACAAAGGGGGAAGAGGUUAUGCAGCUGUUAUAGCUCAUUUUAAUUAAUUCAUAUACAAAUUAAGAGCAGACAAUUUGAAAAAGGUAAUAUUUGAGAAACCGUGCAUGCAACACUCUGACUUAUUGCAAGAUGACAUCAUUCUUUUUGGAGUUGUUCUAUAGUUCAACACUGCUAUCUGUACAAAAAGCUGCAGACUGAGAGGAAGCUUGACUUGUGGAGAUGAGGUCCACCACCUGCAACAAAAUCACUGAUGCUGGAGUCUGUGAGGAUCACUCAGGCAGCACCAGGAUAUUGUUCCAGGAAGCAACCAAGGAGCAAAUGGCAUAUUUCCAGAAUAUCAAAACAGACCCGGGCCUGGGGAUGUAAUUUUGACGUGUUUUGAUAUUUAAUAUGCUCACUACCUGUGCGCGAAGUUGUGUUUGUGCAUGUGUAAGAGUGCUGAGGCGAUGUCACAGGCCAUCCGCUGGAGAAGCAGGGGCUCCGGGGUCAUGGCUUCUGCGGUCCUGCAGCUUCGGAGGUAACCCUUCACAUCUCCCUGCACACAAAGUAAAACAUCUGUAUGUUACAAGCUCCCACCACUGGAGGGCAGUGUUGUAUUGUACUGUGCUUAAUGGGGCCGAGAGUCAACCAUCUUUUGUGCAAGAAGGCACAUCUGGCUUGGUAUUACUAUGUGGAAUAAUGAAUAGACAUGCACCAACAUUGUGUCCUCUGUUGCAUGUGUACAUUUAAAAUGUUUUAACAGACCAUUUCAGAUUAUGGCUGUGCUGAAUUAAAUGUUUUUUCUUGUUGUUUUUUUACAUGAUGAUGGAUUUUUAAGCUGCAUUUCAAGUGGUACAAGCAAAGCAGGACAUAUAAACCUGGGUUGAACUGUCAAAUAUUUAUAGCAACUGUCAAGAAUGUUUUUAUUGCCUUUUUCGAUCCAUUUAGGGUGCUGAUGAGUUACAAGAUCUAAUGCAGACUUUAAGAUGAAUUGGGCUUCAUUACAAAUAUUAUAGCUCAUAUCUUACAUUGUACUCUAUGUUAUUUCAAUAUGUUAUAGCUUCAUUUAAUAACACUUAGCAGUAAAAGGAACAUUCUAGCACUCCUCUCAGAUUCAGACCCUGUGACAUGUCUUCAGAUGUCAUCUUAAUCAACGCUUAACAUGUGUAAGGCCUUGGGAUACUCACCAGAGGACAGAACUCCAUCACCAGUAGGUAGGGAGUGAUCUCUGUGCAUUGGGAAAUACAUGCCAGCAGAGCAGGGUGCUGGAGGGAGCUGAGAGGAGGAGAGAAGGGGAGAGAGGAGGAGAGGAGGAGGAGAGGAAGAGAGGGGGAGAGGAAGAGAGGGCGAGAGGAGGAGGAGAGGGGUAGAGGAAGAGCGUGUGGUCACAGGACACAAUGAGGCAGGCAGUGAAUUGUUAUGUGUGUAGGUUGACUUUGAUAUUUUUUUUCAGGAUGAUUUUUUUUUUUUCAUUACCAUUGUUAAUGUUGUUCUUAGGGUGUUAGUGGUUUUUGGAUUUGUAUUUUAUUCUAAAUAAAGGUGUCUUGUUAGCAU